GACGGGGGGGGCAAGUGUUCUUCGGAAUGACUGGGCGUCAAGGGCACGUAGGCGGUGAAUCGGGUUGAAAAUGAAAGUCGCCAAAAAGUGGCGGAAUGCUCUCGAAACCAAUUCACUUGAGUGGGACAGAGGAGAGUGGAAUUUCGUGUGUAGGGGUGAAAUCCGUAGAUCUACGAAGGAAGGCCAAAAGCGAAGGCAGCUCUCUGGGUCCCUACCGACGCUGGGGUGCGAAAGCAUGGGGAGCGAACAGG
rnacentral:rRNA from 1 species